rnacentral:rRNA from 1 species
UACGGGGGGGGCAAGCGUUGUUCGGAAUUACUGGGCGUAAAGGGCUCGUAGGCGGCCAACUAAGUCGGACGUGAAAUCCCCAGGCUCAACCUGGGAACUGCGUCCGAUACUGGAUGGCUUGAAUCCGGGAGAGGGAUGCAGAAUUCCAGGUGUAGCGGUGAAAUGCGUAGAUAUCUGGACGAAUACCGGUGGCGAAGGCGGCAUCCUGGACCGGCAUUGACGCUGAGGAGCGAAAGCCAGGGGAGCAAACGGG